UACGGGGGGGGCAAGCGUUGUUCGGAAUUACUGGGCGUAAAGGGCUCGUAGGCGGCCAACUAAGUCGGACGUGAAAUCCCCAGGCUCAACCUGGGAACUGCGUCCGAUACUGGAUGGCUUGAAUUCGGGAGAGGGAUGCAGAAUUCCAGGUGUAGCGGUGAAAUGCGUAGAUAUCUGGAGGAAUACCGGUGGCGAAGGCGGCAUCCUGGACCGACAUUGACGCUGAGGAGCGAAAGCUAGGGGAGCAAACAGG
rnacentral:rRNA from 1 species